rnacentral:rRNA from 1 species
GACGAACGCUGGCGGCGUGCCUAAUACAUGCAAGUAGAACGCUGAAGAGAGGAGCUUGCUCUUCUUGGAUGAGUUGCGAACGGGUGAGUAACGCGUAGGUAACCUGCCUUGUAGCGGGGGAUAACUAUUGGAAACGAUAGCUAAUACCGCAUAACAAUGGAUGACACAUGUCAUUUAUUUGAAAGGGGCAAUUGCUCCACUACAAGAUGGACCUGCGUUGUAUUAGCUAGUAGGUGAGGUAACGGCUCACCUAGGCGACGAUACAUAGCCGACCUGAGAAGGUGAUCGGCCACACUGGGACUGAGACACGGCCCAGACUCCUACGGGAGGCAGCAGUAGGGAAUCUUCGGCAAUGGGGGCAACCCUGACCGAGCAACGCCGCGUGAGUGAAGAAGGUUUUCGGAUCGUAAAGCUCUGUUGUAAGUCAAGAACGAGUGUGAGAGUGGAAAGUUCACACUGUGACGGUAGCUUACCAGAAAGGGACGGCUAACUACGUGCCAGCAGCCGCGGUAAUACGUAGGUCCCGAGCGUUGUCCGGAUUUAUUGGGCGUAAAGCGAGCGCAGGCGGUUUGAUAAGUCUGAAGUUAAAGGCUGUGGCUCAACCAUAGUCCGCUUUGGAAACUGUCAAACUUGAGUGCAGAAGGGGAGAGUGGAAUUCCAUGUGUAGCGGUGAAAUGCGUAGAUAUAUGGAGGAACACCGGUGGC